rnacentral:rRNA from 1 species
UACGGGGGGGGCAAGCGUUGUUCGGAAUUACUGGGCGUAAAGGGCUCGUAGGUGGCCAACUAAGUCGGGCGUGAAAUCCCUCGGCUUAACCGGGGAACUGCGUCCGAUACCGGUUGGCUUGAGUUUGGGAGAGGGAUGCGGAAUUCCAGGUGUAGCGGUGAAAUGCGUAGAUAUCUGGAGGAACACCGGUGGCGAAGGCGGCAUCCUGGACCAAUACUGACGCUGAGGAGCGAAAGCCAGGGGAGCAAACGGG